UUUAUUGUGUUAUUAGAUCCAUAAGGCCGACAAACAAAUCGAUAAGCUCUCUGGGCUACUUCAAAAGCUAAAGGAAGCUAAUGAAGAAUCAAAAGCCGUUACAAAAGCAUUUGCUAUGAAAGCUAUCAAGAAGAGGAUGUAGAAGGAUAUUGAUGAAGUUGAAAAGAUUUCACAUAGUGUCAAAACAAAAAUAGAAGCUAUAAUCAGAGAUGUAAUGAGACGAAGAUAAUGACUUGAUGUUUUAGUAAA